GCGACGGGUGCCGCCAUGGUUUAGCGUGUCUGGCUUUGAUAUAUUUCAUGUAUGGAAUAAUAGACCAGGAGCUAGGUUCGAUUCCUACCUUGCU